rnacentral:rRNA from 1 species
GACGAACGCUGGCGGCGUGCCUAAUACAUGCAAGUAGAACGCUGAAGAGAGGAGCUUACUCUUCUUGGAUGAGUUGCGAACGGGUGAGUAACACGUAGGUAACCUGCCUUGUAGCGGGGGAUAACUAUUGGAAACGAUAGCUAAUACCGCAUAACAAUGGAUGACACAUGUCAUUUAUUUGAAAGGGGCAAUUGCUCCACUACAAGAUGGACCUGCGUUGUAUUAGCUAGUAGGUGAGGUAAUGGCUCACCUAGGCGACGAUACAUAGCCGACCUGAGAGGGUGAUCGGCCACACUGGGACUGAGACACGGCCCAGACUCCUACGGGAGGCAGCAGUAGGGAAUCUUCGGCAAUGGGGGCAACCCUGACCGAGCAACGCCGCGUGAGUGAAGAAGGUUGUCGGAUCGUAAAGCUCUGUUGUAAGUCAAGAACGGGUGUGAGAGUGGAAAGUUCACACUGUGACGGUAGCUUACCAGAAAGGGACGGCUAACUACGUG